rnacentral:lncRNA from 1 species
UGUGGCGAAGCAGUGUUGGAGAUAAAGUGCACUUUGGUUGCAGGCCAUGCUGUGCAGAAGCACCUUCAGCACCCCGCCGAGGAUACUCUCUUUGGACUCCGUCACAGAAACAGUCUGUACAACUAUCUCUAGUGUAUCCAAAAUAAUUAGAUUUGCUUCUGUUGCAAGAUUUCCAUCAAUAAGUGCUUCAUGUUCUAUCUCUGCUCGUGACUUGUCAAGCUUCUCUGUGUUUUGACGCCAGUGAGUCAUAUCCUUUCUCCAUCUCAAAUUCUCUUGACUUCCAAAAGCGCUCCCAGAAGGACUUCUCUCUAACUGCCCUCUGCUUCUUCGGACCAUUUCCUGCCUUGC